GCCUUGCGGAGAAGGUGGCCUCGGUGCGUCGUGAUCGUCUCCAUGGAGGACUACCGCACGACAGCCGGAGGCGAUGAUGGCAGUGACGUUGACGCCAUCGACUUCGACGCCCUCGCUCGCAACCUCCAGGGAAGAGCUGCUGGCUCCGGUGGAUCAACUACCUCCGCCCGGACAUCAAGCGCGGCAACUUCACCGCCGACGAGGAGGCCCUCAUCGUUAGCCUCCACCGCUAUCUCGGCAACAGAUUUAUCUCAAUGACAAACUCAACCGUAGCACUAAAAGAUGUAGUUGUUGGCCAGCAAAACUGCAAGGUUUUUGGACGUCUAAUUAGAUUAUGGGAUGCUAUAAACAUGAAAUCAAAAUCUGUAAAUCCAUUGAUCAGCAUUGAUGGUAUCCUCUUAGAUGAACAUGUAUGUCAAUUUCUUACGUAAUAUUAACCAUGAAUCUUAUGUGUAAUGAUCUUGCAGGGUUCGGUGGCACAAAUUAGUGUGCCAAAAAAGUUUGAGAAACAAUUUUGCCCCCUGCUAACUGAAGGAUUUGUCUACCUGAUUAGCAAUACCAUUGUUGUUGAUGCCAGAAGGAAAACAUAUAUCUAUCAGCCCCAGCAUUACAUGAUCCAGUUUAAACAUGACACAAUAGUUCAUCAUUUGGAAUCUAGAGGAUCAACAAUACCGAGAUAUUUUUUCAACUUUUGCCCAUUUGAUCAAGUUCCAAGAAAAAACAUUACAGCCAAACCUCUGAUAGGUAAUCCUUGCUUUUAAUCCACCCCCUUAUAAUAUCAAUUAUACUUAACAUUAUGUGACAUGUUUUGUUUAGAUUUAAUUGGUGUAAUCAGCCAUGUUGGUCCAUAUGAUUUUGCAAGCCCAACAUCAGGAAAAAAUAUCAGAAGAAUUCAAAUUCACAACCAGGAGUAUGCUUCUCUUCCAAAACAUUUAAAAAUUCCAGUAAUUUCACUAAUUGUUUUUAUUUUUCCACUUUUGUAGACAACCGAUUCAAGAUGUAGUUCUCUGGGGACAAUAUGGAGAAUCAUUCAACGAAUAUGAAGUACUAAAAAAAUCAAAGGAAGGAAUUGUAGUAGUAAUAUUUGCUGGUCUUACUGUAGGAUAUUUUUCAGGUUUGUUCCAUGAAAAUAAUUGUGUCCUCACACAUAGCAAAGACCCACUGACCACCUAUGAUUGCAGGAAAAACAGAAGCAUCUUCGAGCUCUGCUACUCAUAUUCAUAUUGACCUUGAUAUAGCUCAGGUGGCAGAGUAUCGCUCUAGGGCCGUGGUCGGCUGCACUGCUAAGAUAACUUAUCUCCCCAGUUUUCCAUGCGCACGCUUCCCGAACGGCUAAACGUUAACCUACAAUCCCUCAAAAGAGCGCGGCUCAGGUACAAAUGGGAAUCUCCAAGGCUUCAAUAGCAGCUCCCUAAGGUUAUACGCUUAUCCCCAAUUCAAGCAGCAGGAAAAAUGUACACCCUAGAUGAAGUAUCUGCAAUGCCUGUCUGAGCCUUUCAGCGAGGAGCAACUUACAGUGCACUUGCAAAGAUAACUUCCGUACAGCUAUAACACUGAGUCCCAAACAUGUGCAUGCGAAGUCUCAUUCCCCAAACCAAUGUAUAAACUCCCUGUGACAAUUACAGAUAAUUCAGGGAGUUUAGAUGAUGUGGCAUUUUCUCUUGUUGCUGAAGACCUGGUAGAGCUUGAUGCAGCCCAUGCCUCUCAGAACAUGAAGAUAGACUCAUUUGAUCAUCCAACAGCUCUUAAUAAUGCCAUUGGAAAAAAAGACUCUUUACUAUAGGGAUGAAUACUGAUUCAUCUUCUAAAUUCCCCAUCAGCUAUGUUCUGAAAAGGAGUUUCCCAAUUGAUAACACUAUGGAAAACCCUAUGCUGACAUUUGAAGAGGUUGGUAAAUAUUAUUUGAAGAUACCAUUUAAUAUUUCUUCAGUAUAACUUAUCUUUCUAAUCCAACCUUCCAAGACCAAAGAUCUACUACAGCUUCCAACACAUACAACAUAUACAAGUAUCUCAAGGUUUGUUGUUCUCAUGUUUUCUAUUCAUCGCUAUACUUGCUAAAUGCUAAUGAAAAAUCCAUCUCAGCACACAUGUCGAAGAUACAACAAUAAACAAAGACAGUGCACCUACAGAAGAUAUUGCAGCUGAUAUAUCCACAAAAAAGAACAAGUUAGAAUUACAUUAUUCACAUACUUAAUUAAACACAUGCAUUCAAUCAUUAAAUAUUA